rnacentral:rRNA from 1 species
AUUGAACGCUGGCGGCAGGCCUAACACAUGCAAGUCGAACGAGUGGCGGACGGGUGAGUAAUGUCUGGGAAACUGCCCGAUGGAGGGGGAUAACUACUGGAAACGGUAGCUAAUACAGCAUACCAUCGGAUGUGCCCAGAUGGGAUUAGCUAGUGGGUGGGGUAACGGCUCACCAAGGCGACGAUCCCUAGCUGGUCUGAGAGGAUGACCAGCCACACUGGAACGGAGACACGGUCCAGACUCCUACGGGAGGCAGCAUUGGGGAAUAUUGCACAUUGGGCGCAAGCCUGAUGCAGCCAUGCCGCGUGUAUGAAGAAGGCCUUCGGGUGGUAAAGUACUUUCAGCGAGGAGGCGUUACCCGCAGAAGAAGCACCGGCUAACUCCGUGCCAGCAGCCGCGGUAAUUC